rnacentral:rRNA from 1 species
AGAGUUGAUCAUGGCUCAGGACGAACGCUGGCGGCGUGCCUAACACAUGCAAGUCGAGCGAGGAGAUCCUCGGGAUGAUCCUAGCGGCGGACGGGUGAGUAACACGUGGGCAACCUGCCUCAUAGAGAGGAAUAGCCUUCCGAAAGGGAGAUUAAUACCUCAUAACAUUGCAGUUUCGCAUGGAACAGCAAUUAAAGGAGUAAUCCGCUAUGAGAUGGGCCCGCGGCGCAUUAGCUAGUUGGUGAGGUAACGGCUCACCAAGGCGACGAUGCGUAGCCGACCUGAGAGGGUGAUCGGCCACAUUGGGACUGAGACACGGCCCAGACUCCUACGGGAGGCAGCAGUGGGGAAUAUUGCACAAUGGGGGAAACCCUGAUGCAGCAAACCGCCGCGUGAGUGAUGACGGCCUUCGGGUUGUAAAGCUCUGUCUUCAGGGACGAUGAUGACGGUACCUGAGGAGGAAGCCACGGCUAACUACGUGCCAGCAGCUGC